AUCCAUAGUUGGAGGAUAUGGGAAGUUGAGGCUUAUUUGGAACAGCAUGAAUUAUUAACUGGGAAGGAUAAUCAACAUAGCAUCAAUUGUUGGUCUUGUUGGUAACAUUGGGCAAACCAAUUGUAGUGCUGCAAAGGCAGGGGUACUUGGCCUCACAAAAACCGUGGCAAGGGAAUAUGCGAGUAGGAAUAUUAAUGCAGUGCGACAUGGUAGAGCUCUUGUGCGAGUAUCAUUCAACAGUAAUCUGCAGAAGUCGGACUACAUUAUGGUAACGGCUGAUUUAUACCCUCAGAAUCCAGUCCUCCGCCUUGGAAGUCAGCUCAACUUCAGCAGACGGGUAGUUGGGUAACUAUUUUAUCAUUUUGAAUAUUUGCCAUUGUUAAAAUUUCUCUUCAGGUGCUCGCCACUGCAUAAUGUUAGCAGACCAUGGGAACAAUCCUCUGAUCAGUUUUCUCAGUACCCAGCUACCAUGUUAUUGACAGCUGAUCAUGAUGAUCGGGUUGUGCCAUUACACUCAUUAAAGUUAUUAGCGGUGAGUCUUUAAUUGCUACAAUUAUGUUUUACUUCCUAUGUUAUUUGCUUUGAUUUGCCCUGCAUCUGAACAUUGAAUUGUCUAGUUUCUUGCUCAAGUUUUGUCAAUGAGGUUCACCUCUUAAAUGUUAUAAUAUUUAUCCACCUUCUUGUCAGGACAUAAGAAGAUAAUAAAUUGAAUGGCUUAAUCACAAUAUAUGAUUAUCCUCGU